GAUGAACGCUGACAGAAUGCUUAACACAUGCAAGUCAACUUGAACUUCGGUUUGGGUGGCGGACGGGUGAGUAACGCGUAAAGAACUUGCCUUACAGUUAGGGACAACAUUUGGAAACGAAUGCUAAUACCUGAUAUUAUGAUUUUAGGGCAUCCUAGAAUUAUGAAAGCUAUAUGCGCUGUGAGAGAGCUUUGCGUCCCAUUAGCUAGUUGGAGAGGUAACGGCUCACCAAGGCGAUGAUGGGUAGCCGGCCUGAGAGGGUGAACGGCCACAAGGGGACUGAGACACGGCCCUUACUCCUACGGGAGGCAACAGUGGGGAAUAUUGGACAAUGGACCAAGAGUCUGAUCCAGCAAUUCUGUGUGCACGAUGAAGUUUUUCGGAAUGUAAAGUGCUUUCAGUUGGGAAGAAAAAAAUGACGAUACCAACAGAAGAAGUGACGGCUAAAUACGUG
rnacentral:rRNA from 1 species